GCCCAGAUGGCGGAAUUGGUAGACGCGCCAGGUUCAGGACCUGGUUCUCGCAAGGGAGUGCUGGUUCGAGUCCAGUUCUGGGCACCA
rnacentral:tRNA from 1 species